UUUUUUUUUGCCGUGGCUUCCGUUUUCGGCUUUGAUUUUCUUAUUGAAUGUCCUUAAUUAUGUGGCUACCACUGUAUGUAGGCUAGUUCUCAAAUGUUUUCAACAACAUUUUUCCAGGAAUUAACAUACAGUAAAGAAAGAAAUUGAUUAUCGAUUUGGUAAUUACAUAAUUAAAAAAUUCGUAAAAGAUUUGAGUUACGUAUGUUAGUGUUUUUUUAUUUAGAACUGCCGUCUCCGUGGCACUCUUUGGUCAGACAUCCAUCCAACUCAUUCCGACAGCAUAGAAUUUACCUUUUGACUACUGUCAAACAGUCGUUUUUUACAUAUAUCUUGUUUUGCUAAUCAGUGAUUCAUUACUACUAGAGUAUAUAUGCUUGAAUGCCUCUGAUUGCAAUUUAGAACGGUGGGUCGUAUGAGAGAAAGUUUGUUUGAUUUUUUUUUUAUUUGAGAGCUAAACAAAAUAUGCAAGCUUGCUAAUCGUGUGAAGAAUAGUAACAAGAAAAAUCUAUUUUGUCGUAUAUUAAA